ensembl:lncRNA
AUGCUGGGCGGAGCGGCUUCCAGACUCCCCCCGUCCGGCGAUCGAUGCACACCUGGAACCCAUCUCCAGCCAAUCACCCACACCUGCCAUCCGUUUUAUAAGCCUGGUCCACAUCUAAUUAUUCACCAAUUUGUUGUUAACCCCCCUGUGAUCGCCCUUCUUGGAUUCCUGUUUGUGCCACCCAGCUUGCUCCUGUUGGAUCGUGUUUCUUCUGCUGCCUGCACCUCUUGGUUUCUGCCUUAAACCUUUCACAGUUAAAGAACCUUUACUCCAACUCCAGCCAUUCGUAUGUGUCUGCUUUUGGGGUCUAGAUUUGUGUAUGCAGAGCUCUAACAGUUUCUCCCCUUUCUUCUUCAGAAAAGAAUAAACUGCAUCUACCUUCCAGCUGCUGUCCACCCAGCUCUGUGAGGACGGUUGCAGACUUGAAACAUUCUGUUGAUGCUGCUUUCUGAAUUCUGAGUGAUAAUAUAAUAAACAUGCAGAAUAAUUUAUGCAACCAGGUUGGACUUGGUGAUUGUGUGUGACAUAUAUGUGUGUUUUAUAUAUUUAUAUGUGCCAAAUCAAGAUAAUGACAAAAUUCAAAUAAAGUUAAAUUAGGAGGAUUCACAGUGGAGCAUUUUUGGUUGGUCACGUCAGUGGAAGCUACUCUACGGACCAGCACAUCAAAGAUUUCUACUAAUCCUCCUUCUAUCCCCAGGCUGCACACAGCCAGGCUGGAGAGCUUUUUCAUGGAUUAGAAGAUGCCCCCUUAUCCCCCUUGUCUGACUCUGGUGGUUUCAGGGGUUGCUGUCAGGUCAGGUCAUGGAUGGGUUUUCUUCUCUGGUCACAGACAUUUAACUUUCUCCAUUCUUUUAAGUCAUUAAGUGUGUUUUUAAUAUUUACAUUAGUGUUCAUACAAUUAUUGGCUUAUAGCGAGAACUUGAAGAGACAUUCUUUAUGUUUCAGGUUCAUGCUGUGAAUAAACCAGAGGAGGAAAAGAUUAUCCCUGGUGUCAUGGUUGGUGGCCAGGAGGAAUCUGACGAAGGUUUUAGGACACACUUCAAAAGUGGAGACUAGAGCCGGAGUAUUGGAGCGCCCCGAUCAGGCAGCGCUGUGGACACCUGUCUCACCAGGUAUAUGGAAAAGCAUUAAGAUAGGUUGAGCCAUGGACUGCAAAGCUCAGGUUCCUUUAUCUAACUUUGGCAUCCCACUGGUAAUGUGAUGGUGAUUAUAUGUCAUACAGUGUGUUUGCAUGUGCUCCAUAUAUAAUAAUUUACAUUUAUUAUCCUGCCCACUGCAAGAACAGUGUAGAAUAGAAAGGCCUUACAAAAAGCAUUAGCAUCGAAGAACCACUGCAACUGAGGAGGCAAAAUUCUCUACUAGGCCAGAAUUCCUGACAAAAUGUGAGCAAGAUUAUUCCGGGAUGCAUUGACAUGACUCAUGAAUUUUGGUUCCUGGAGCUGUAGCAUCUUAUGUGGUUGUUGCUUACGAUCAUUCUCCCAGUGCUGCCAUUUCACCUGUGCACUGUCUCCUAGUGUGAUUCCACAGUCAGCCCUGUUGAAUGAACAAGAAAGCCACAGAUCAGUGCUGUAAUUUUGCUGUUGCUGCUGUUUCUGCCACCUGGUGUUAGAUACUGUCACCCUACUGUUGCAGCUAGACUCUAGCUGCUAGAGUAUACAGUGGUAUGAGAAAGUUUAGGCACCCCCUCUGAGGUUGUGUAAUAAUGGACUCUGACUUCACACAAAAUUAUCUUGGUGGCAUGUCCUUCAUUUGCCCAUAAGUGCCAAGUGUUAGCUUGAUUUCCAAACACAGAUUUUAAGUAUUCAUAGUAUGCAAUUGUAUGAAAUUAAAUCAAAUGUAUAAAAUAGGCUGUGCAAAAAUGUGGGAACCCUUGUCAUUUUUUCUGCUUUGAUGGCCUGCAACUUAUCAUCACAAGAUAAUUGGACACACAAAGUUGGUUUGGUGAGCUCGUUAAGCCUUGAACUUAAUCGACAGUUGCAUCCAAUAAUGUCAA